UACAAAAUUGUGAAAGUACUAUAACAUGAAAAUUUUGAUUAAGAGUUAGGCUGAUCCAAUAGGCAGAUGACAUAGUUGGAAGAAAAAUGACGUACUGUGAAGCAUAACAAGGCGCACAAAACCGUCUUGUAACUUUUUUCGAUAUGAUUUGGUAUCGAAAGUGGAGGGAGAUACCACAAUCAUGAGGCAGGCAACGCCCUAAACGGCAAUAAAAAACCUGAGAAGGCAUCCAGCCAACAUAUGUAAAAAGUUCCAUAAAAUGAAACAAUGGAUUUUCAAGCAGACACAA